ensembl:lncRNA
GGACCACUUUUAAAGUACUUAUUGAAUUUGUUACCAUAUUGCUUCUGUUUUAUGUUUUUAGGGCACAAGGCAUAUGGGAUCUUAACUGCCCAGCCAGGGACUGAACCCUCAUCUCUUGCUCUGGAAGACAAAGUCCUAAUCACUGUUCCGCCAGGGAAGUCCCUACUACUUCGUUUGCAUAAAAGCAGAAAUACUAUAGCUUCUUCUGGAAGCCAAGGAGGAGCCGGAAAAUUACCUCCAAUCACGAUUCGGAAGCACAACCUCAGGCCUGAAGGCCAGAUGCGGGAUCUCCAGAGGCCAGCGCUGACCCCAGGAUGGCAGGCCGACAUCCAGUCUCAUGGCCUUCCUCGUGGAGAUAUGGCUGAACUAAAGAGCCUCUUGAUGAAAGUGAAAGAGAAGAGUGAAAAAGUUGGCUUAAAACUCAACAUUCCGAAAACUAAGAUCAUGGCAUCCAGUCCCAUCACUUCAUGGUAAAUAGAUGGGGAAACAAUGGAAACAGUGAAACUAUUUUUGGGGGCUCCAAAAUCAUUGCGGAUAGUGACCUCAGCCAUGAAAUUAAAAGACACUUGCUCCUUGGAAGGAAAACUGUGACCAAGCAGCAUAUUAAAAAGCAGAGAUAUUACCUUGCCAACAAAGAUCCAUCUAGUCAAAGCUAUGGUUUUUCCAGUAGUCAUGUAUGGAUGUGAGAGUUGGACUAUAAACAAGCUGAGCGUCAAAGAAUUGAUGCUUUUGAACUGUGAUGUUGGAGAAGACUCUUAAGUCUAAGUCCCUUGGACUGCAAGGAGAUCAAACCAGUCAAUCCUGAAGGAAAUCAGUCCUGAAUAUUCAUUGGGAAGCACUGAUGCUAAAGCUGAAGCUCCAAUACUUUGGCCACCUGAUGUGAAGAACUGACUCAUUGGAAAAGACCCUGAUUCUGGGAAAGAUUGAAGGCAGGAGAAGAAGGGAACAAUAGAGGAUGAGAUGGUGGAUGGCAUCACCAACUUAAAGGACAUGAGUUUGAGUAAGUUCCAGGAAUUGGUGAUGGACAGGGAGGCCUGGUGUGCUGCAGUACAUGGGGUCGCAAGGAGUUGGACAUGACUGAGGGACUGAAUUGAAAGCCCCAUCCUCACCUCUUAAUAUACUCCCUGGAGGGGGCACAGCGGUGGCCUCUGGAGGCAGGCAGGGCAGGGUCCAUGUCUUGGCUCUCUGGUGGGCAAGCCAUCUCAUUUCAGGCAAGAAGCUUACCAAACACUGUUUUCCCACCCAUUGGAAAGCAAAUCAUAACAUUAUUUGCAUUGAUCUACUUCAUAAGGUUAUCAUGAG